rnacentral:rRNA from 1 species
GACGGAGGAUGCAAGCGUUAUCCGGAAUGAUUGGGCGUAAAGCGUUCGCAGGUGGCUGUUCAAGUCUGCUGUCAAAGACCGGGGCUUAACCCUAGAAAGGCAGUGGAAACUGAACGGCUGGAGUGCAGUAGGGGUAGAGGGAAUUCCCAGUGUAGCGGGGAAAUGCGUAGAUAGUGGGAAGAACACCGGUGGCGAAAGCGCUCUGCUGGACUGCAACUGACGAUGAGGGACGAAAGAUAGGGGAGCGAAAGGG